rnacentral:rRNA from 1 species
AAGGUGGGGAUGACGUCAAGUCCUCAUGGCCCUUAUGGGUAGGGCUUCNCACGUCAUACAAUGGUNCAUACAGAGCGCCGCCANCCCGCGAGGGGGAGCUAAUCNCAGAAAGUGUAUCGUAGUCCGGAUUGUAGUCUGCAANUCGNCUGCAUGAAGUUGGAAUCGCUAGNAAUCGCGGAUCAGCAUGUCGCGGUGAAUACGUUCCCGGGUCUUGUNCGCNCCGCCCGUCNCACCAUGCCAGCGGGUUUUACCAGAAGUAGGUAGCNUAANCGNAAGGAGGGCNCUUCCCNCGGUAGGAUU